ACUUGGAGAAAAGAGGGGAAAAAAAUAAGAGAGGAAAAUUGGCAUAGCUAGGGAUUUUAUCCCUUGAAAUCUUGUUCCAAAAUUAAUUCUUCUAAUAUUCCAAGCAAGUUGAAGGCCCUAAUCAACAUAGAGAGAUUUUUGGAACAAGAAGACUAUUCAUUCUUGCAAGGCACAAUUCUAACAAGUUGAAGAACUAAGUGGAAAAGAUUUUGGAAAGGCCAAGAGUUAGGUGGGGUGACUAAGGAAGCGGACAAGGUACACCCAGACAAGUAGAAGUUACCAUAGAAGAUGUUGCAGCAGGGUUAGCAACUCCACUUGUUCCUGGAGUGCUGCCGAGUCAGAGUAUAUGUGCUAUGAUGUUUCGUUCAAAGUUAGAGACUUUGCAGACAGAGUCGUGGGUAUAGAGUGUCAUAUGUUAUGAGUUUUAUGGGAUGAUAGAUUUUGGAAAAAAAUAAUUCACGAAGCGUAGUUAUGUUUUUCAUUUCUUGUUGAUGUAAAAGUCUAAGAGAUUAAAUAUGUACUAUGAAGCAGCGGGUU